rnacentral:piRNA from 1 species
UAUCAAAACAUGGACAUAAAAGAUAUUU